rnacentral:rRNA from 1 species
AGUGAACGCUGGCGGUAGGCCUAACACAUGCAAGUCGAACGGCAGCACAGUAAGAGCUUGCUCUUACGGGUGGCGAGUGGCGGACGGGUGAGGAAUACAUCGGAAUCUACUUUUUCGUGGGGGAUAACGUAGGGAAACUUACGCUAAUACCGUAUACGACCUACGGGUGAAAGCAGGGGAUCUUCGGACCUUGCGCGAUUGAAUGAGCCGAUGUCGGAUUAGCUAGUUGGCGGGGUAAAGGCCCACCAAGGCGACGAUCCGUAGCUGGUCUGAGAGGAUGAUCAGCCACACUGGAACUGAGACACGGUCCAGACUCCUACGGGAGGCAGCAGUGGGGAAUAUUGGACAAUGGGCGCAAGCCUGAUCCAGCCAUACCGCGUGGGUGAAGAAGGCCUUCGGGUUGUAAAGCCCUUUUGUUGGGAAAGAAAAGCAGCAGGUUAAUACCCCGCUGUUCUGACGGUACCCAAAGAAUAAGCACCGGCGAACUUCGU